UGGACUUGCAAACUUUGCGCUCUUUGGGAUUUCAAGACAGAGCUUAUUGUUCUCUGAACUUCCUUGUUUGCUGAACGGCAGGUUGAAGCAGAAUUUGCCCGUCUUACAUCUGUUGACCUGAAAGGGUUCCUUUUUGCUGUGCUUGACCAUUAUGGAGAGGUUCGUGGAGCUGUACAAAAUCAAGAGCGGCAUAGAAAGGCUAACUAGGCUCAUAAGAUGCUUCGGAGAUGAUAGCCCUACACAAAGGAAGAGGACAGAGGACCUCAUUUUCUAAAGGAAGAUCCCUCACACACUUUCAAGACUGUGAAG